AAAUAACUAGAUGGUUUAAAAAAUGUUAUCAGAACUGUCUUUACCGCUAACAAGGUCUAAAUGAAACUGUCGCCAUGGAUAAUGUUUGUGUCUUGCGUUGUGACUGUCCUGACAAAGGCCUGUCCCGUUGGGGAGUAGAUGAAGCUUAACAUUCACAGGCCUUGGGAGCCAUGGAUGGAGAAACUCCGGCUGUCUGCCAAGCAGAACCUGGCAGAUCUUUGGCAAGGUGGUUGCCCUGAGACAACUCUUGCCCUGAGACAAUCGGGAAGGCUUGGGGAGAAGAACAUUCUUUUCCCACAGAUACUCUUCUGUGUCAUUCCUGUGCUUUACCUGGCUUUCUGCACUCAAGAUCUUAUCUCCUUGGAAAGACCCUGGAGUGGACACAGUAUAAACCAUCCCAUCUCCUUGACCUGGACAAUCCUUUGACCUCCUGUAUUUGCCCCCUGGUGGCUUCUGUUUUGCCCUAUAAAGACAGAUUCUGUUUCUGGGAGGUGGGUAAGUAUUUGUUGAAGCAAUACGUAGAUAUCGGCAUACAUUUAGAUGUUUACGGGCCCCGUCACGAGAUUUAAGGGCUCCCUCACAUUCCUGUUUUCCUGUGGAAACAGACUGGGCCGAUCUACCUUCCUACUGCAAACCCUCUCCUAGAACUACGGGAUGAGCAGAAACAUGAGGGACAAGAGGCAACAUGUGAAACCCUCCAGCCUCCUCGCCCCCUUGCAUGUUUGCUUUCCUGGGACCUUCCACGAGGUGCUCUGCACGUAGACAAGGGACCCAUCCAGGAAUAAGACGGUGUCCAGUGGAGCAGAGCUGGCUGUGUCCUCUGAGAACGCAAGGAAGCAUGAGCAAGAGAAAAACGUCUGGGCUCAGAUCCCAGUGAACUCAUCUGCUUCUCCUUGAACUUUUUGCAAUAUCAUCUAUGCUGGAAAUGAUCAUUUAAAGCCACAGCCUAGCAUAAUGUUUACAUCCUGAGGGUUGGAACUGGAGUCAUUAAGUCUUUCAAACAACAAGGACUUUCUCCAGAAUACCUACUUGAUAAACCUUCUUGACUGACUGUGCCUAUUUGUAAUCUCUGCUCACAACUGGGUCCUUGACAAAACCUACUAUAAACUUCUCAACCAUCAAUUAUACAUAAAAAAUGUGGGUGAAAUGAUGGAGAAGAAUUCAACAAAUAGCAUUGCUCAUAAUGGAGAGAAGAUUCUACCUUCUACAAUAUGUAAUUUGAUGAAAUAUGCUAAGCAAGGUUGGGAGAAAAUAGAACCAUUAUUUGUUGUCCGAGCUCCUGGAUCACACGCUACCACUUGCUUAUCUCACUGGGCUCAAGCUUUUCCUGUGGCAUGCCCCCCUGUUCAUCUACCUAUCUGCCUCGCCCAUGGUUUGCUGAAUGCUCCCGGUGAGCCUGGUAUCCUGAAGGACCUUCGUAUCCGCUGUGGUUGGGUUCUCUCAGCUUUCUGCUUGGCCUUGGUCAAAGCCACGGUACACUCCAACUCUUCAGCUCUGGCCCGAAUGCCUUGAGCUUGAAUACAAAUAACCUUGGAGUGGGAAGCUUUUCUACUCAACUACGGACAUAGCUGAACAGAUUUUGCUUUAGUGAAAUGAAGUGGAGCCUGAAUUUAUCUGGAAAUGUGUGGAAUCAGCAGAGAGCAGUAAACACAAGUCUAGGGAAGUGGGAAACCAUUGUGAACGAUUUCGUGUUUUUCACUCCCAGCGGGCAUUUGGGCAUUAUUGUAAAGAACCAUGUUUUCAAACCUGCCAAUAACAGAACAGAUCUUUAUUCAUUGUGGAUGAGGCUUCCACUGGGAGAGUUGAAACUCUCGUUCCUUUUUCACCAACUAGAGAAGCUCUUCAGAGUUCCAAGCUUCUGUUUUCUGACUUCCACGCCAUAAAGGGAGAUGUUAGAUAUAUUUCCCAUAGAAUAACCUCAGGGCUUUCUGGGGGAAGUUGGACAGUUUCUAUGGUGGCAUAGAACGACAGUUCACCAGAGAAACAAUCCCAAGGAAAGGGCAAAUAUAUGCUUUCUGUCCAUUUGUCUUUCCUCUGUGUGUAUUGUUGCAAACAAUAGAAUCCACUCAAGUAAGUUUAGGCAGAAAAGGGAUUUAAUAAGGGAAAUGGGUAGCUCGUAGAAUCACUGUGGUGGGGGGCGGAUUGCUGUAGAAACAGAUUUGAGGCUAAGUUUCCAGAAACAUGUCCCACAUCAAAUCACAAAACCACAGUAUGAGUAGACAUUUGUCAUUGCCCCUUCACGAACUGUAGACUUCCAAACUUUUGCAGCUCUGCUGGGGCCUCCGGUGAUGGAUGCUAAUCUUGCAGUGGGAACUCAGUGUUGCAACCCAAGACUGGAAGCUUAUGUUGCCACAUGAACCCAGAAAAUGGAAACUCCACCAGGACUUCGAACCAAAUGCCCCAGCCAUGUGUCUCAUGGAGGCAGCACCAUGGGAGAUACAAGGGGAGCUGGGGAUUCCCGUGCUGAUUUCAAUCCUGGGGUUUGGGGGCAUCGCUGUAUAUAUCCUCUGGGUUUGUGUUCCAACAUUCACAUUUAUUAAGCAGGACAACGUCUUCCAAAUUCUAGACAGGAGCCUGCAGCCUAGCAAAGUGGUUGACUGUCUGGGCCUCAGAAUCAGUCAGACAUAGGUUCGAAUUUAGGCCCAACCUGCUGUUCUCAUAGUGACGUAAUAAGAAGUCACUUCCCUCUCUUCCUUUCUCCUCUGUGCGUCAACUUCCUUAUCUGCAAAAGACACUGACUACCAUGUAUCUUAGAGGCAUGUGAUAAAAGUUUAAAUGAACAUCUACAUCAAACCCUUUGUACAGGUUUUUUCUUUUUUUUUUAAAGGUUUUAUUUAUUUGACAGAGAUCACAAGCAAGCAGAGAGGCAGGCAGCAAGAGAAUAGGAUGCAGGCUCUCUGCUGAGAGAUCCCAGGACCCUGGGAUCAUGACCCAAGCUGAAGGCAGAGGCUUUUUUUUUAUUUUUUAAAAGAUUUUUAUUCAUCUAUUUGACAGACGGAAAUCACAAGUAGUCAGAGUGGUAGGCAAAGAGAGAGAGGGGAAAGCAGGGUCCCUGCUGAGCAGAGAGCCCGAUGCGGGGCUCGAUCCCAGGACCCUGGGAUCAUGACCUGAGCCGAAGGCAGAGGCUUUAACCCACUGAGCCACCCAGGCGCCCCUGAAUAGUUUUUUAUAACGCCGUGAACAUUCACAAUCUAGUGGUUGUCAUUCCAAUUACUAGUAAAAUAUAGGUGUAUGGUUUGGGAAGGGGGAGAAACUCUUAUUGUCAGAGAUCAUAUAUUAAUAAUAAUAAUAAUAACAACAACAACAAUAAUCCCACUAGUAACAAACCAGCCUCUUCCCAAGCCACCCAAGUUCAUUUUAACAUUUCUUGUAAGAUAUUCCAGUUCAUACAAGGAAUUAUAUGGCUGAACAAUGGGAAAAUGUGAGGUCAGAUGCUUCCUCAACUGUUUCCAAAAUAAAUAGUUACAGGAAGCUCACUCCCCUCUGCCUUAAAGAUUGGGAGGGGGGCUCGUGGAGGAGGCUCUGUGACUGUGAGUUCUCUAUGGGAGAUGUGGGAGCAGAUCAAUCCGUGGCCAAGUGUUUUAGCCGCACGUUUAUUGUGUUUGACAGCGAUGACAAUGUAGUACGCACUGAAUAAAAUGACGGAUGCACCCCUUCUCUCUCUCACACACACACUGCUUCUAUGUUCCCCUUGAACCUUCUGAGUGAAAGCCAGUCAUACAAAAAGCAUGCAGGGUGGGAGUUGAGAUCUGCCGCGACCAAAAUUACCCAGGAAUUCCAAAUUUCCAGAGUCGCAGAGGGGAACCUCACUAGCCAGAGGAGAAAGAAUACAAAAGACUGCGUGUUCAGUAGUUAAGAGUCAGAUCAAAUGGGAAAAGCCUGCCUGGCCACAGAAUUACAUUUCUUGGUCAUCAAGCCUUGUCUCCUUCCCAUGGUGUGGGCAGCCGAUGGACAAAGAAACAAGAGAUAUCUACGUUUACUGUAAAUUUACAUUAUACAAGGCAAAACUAUUUUUUGAUGCUUCUACUCCACUGUUCAAAAUCCUACUUAGAUGCCAUCCCAUUCCCCUCGCUGCUGAUACCCAGAUGUUUCCACUUGCGAUUAGGGCAGGCAGCAUCCAGAUGUUUUGAGGGGGCGGAGGAAGUUCUUUCAUUUGUGGCAAAUUUGAGAGGUGAAGAUUCAUUGACUCAUGUAAUAGUAAUCUUCCUACCCCCGGAAUUUGGAGCCAGGCUUCUUGCCCGCUUUCCUAGUCCUGUGUGGGGUCAUCUCACUGGUAUGGGACAGUGGGGGAACCUACAGGGCUGGGAUUGUGUGGCUCCCGAAAUAUCUACCACAGUUUGGAUUCGCCCUAGGCAAUUCCUUCUGUUCUUUUAAAGGUCAUUUUGUAGACAAGGAGGAAACUUCUGGCCACAUCACCAGCACAAACUAGCAUCCUACGCUGGUUCUCCCGCCAUCCUCUCCAAAGAUUUGCUCUGGAUUCAUAGAGCUCUUGUUCUAGAAAUCUCCCUGUUCUCAGCUCACAAGAACCACAAAUCUUGAACCAAGCACAUCUUUUCUGUAGUUUCUGAAUCUUUUUUCUGCUUACCCGGGAUUCAGUUAUAUUUCAUCUUCUUGCCCCCCUCCCCACGACCCUGCUCCCUGCUGGGCCCUCCUGCCUUGUUCACUCUGUCCCAGCCCUACUGUUCCGUCACUUGGAUAUACUUUGCACACUCGUGCCUGGAUGAGCGGGUGGAUGGAUGAGGGAGGGUUUGCCUCAGCGGUUCCCUGUGUCCAAAACGUUCUUCCCUGGAUGUCCCCAGGGGCCCAGACACAUUUCACUGGGGUCUCUGCCCCAGGGUUCCUUUUUUGGAAAAACCUUCCGUUUCCACACUGGGUGAAAUAUCAGUGCCCACCACCACUUCCUGAUUUCCUCUCCCCACCUGACAGGGCAAAUAAUGGUUUGCUUAAUUGAUCCUGUCUCUCUUUCCCUACUAGGAUCUAAACGCUGUGAGGGCAAGGUAGGUGUCUGUUUUGUUUCUUGCUGCCUAUCCAUGGCCUAGAACUCUACACCUCAUUCAGGUUGGGCCCUUUACUAACAAUAUUGUUGUUCUGCUUCUGUUUUUAUGCAGUUUAUGAAAGAUUCACUCAUCCUCUAUAGACAUCAGUGGACUCCUAUUCUCUUAUGCUCACAGUGGUUCUUUUCCUGAAGAAUUAGAUGAGAAAUAGGGGUGCCUGUGUGGUUUAGUUGGUUAAGUAUCUUAGUUCAUGAUCGCAGGGUCCUGGAAUCAAGCCCUGCAUCAGGCUCCCUGCUCAGCCGGAAGCCUGCUUCUCCCUCUCCCUCUGUCCUUUCCCUGCUUGUGCUUUCAAGCUCUCAAAUAAAUAAAUAACAAAAUCCUCAAAAAAAAAAAAAAAAAACAAGAAUUAGGUGAGGAAUGGAGUGAGCUAUUUCCCAAGGUUUUCACAGCAAAUAUUCAAUGGUCAGGAGGCAAUUUAAGCACUUUGCUUUUUUGCUGCUGCUUCGGAAAGAGUAAGCACCUCAUUAAAAAAAAAAAAAAAAGAAUAACAAUUCUGUAGGUAUAAUGCGAAGCGUAGUGACUAUAGUUAACAGUAUUGUAUUACGUAUUUGGGGGUUGCUAAGAAAGUAGAUCUUUUAAAAGUUUUCAACAUGAGAAAAGAAAUUGAAUUACGUGUAGUGAAGGACGUUAGCGCGACUUACUGUGGUGAUCAUUUUGAAGUAUGAGUCAUUAUGUUGUACACCUGAAAUUAAUAUAAUGUUAUAUGUCAAUUAUAUCUCAAAAAAAACUGACUAAUAGAGAAACUACAUCUCUAUCAUCUGAAAUGACUCUUUAAUGUCCUUUUUUCAAGAGCUGAGCUUACAAGGAAGCCCGAGAAUAUUUCUGGCCCUUCACCGACUCCAUUCAUUGCCCUUCUGGGCCCAGGAGGGCAUCAGAUGCAUGACCUCUACCCUGGGAAUUUCUCAUUCAAGUGUCUUUUUCCCCUGUAAAUAUAAUCUUAUCUUUUCCUGAAAUUUAAAUUUGCGACAGACUUACAUGCCUUUCCUUUUUUUUUUUCCACUUUCUUUUAUUGGUCACACUCCGUAAGAAUCUUCUGCACUUUGUACUUCAUGACUGAACUCUGAGGUUGCUUCCUGGCUGAUUCCUCAUUGCUCUGCUUCGCUGUGAAGACACCAAAACCUCACCCUUGCUAGACUGUACUCACCCUUCCCGUGAUGAGGCGAAAUGAUAAAAUCCCUGCGUGGUGAGAUGAAGUGAGGUGACAGACAAAAGCAUUGUGACACAGCGGUGGGCUACCAUUGACCUUCUGACCAUACGUCCAAAGGAGGGGCACCUCCUCCUGGAUUGCUGUUGACCACGGCUAAGUGAGACCCCUGAUAAGGGAAGACUACCGUAUCAUCUCUUUUUUACAACUGAGCCAAACAGAGGUUCAGCAAGUUAAGUCGCUGGCCCCAUGGUCUCAAGAAAAGCUUCAUAAAUAGCAAGGAUAGAAUUUAACACCCGGUCCACCUGACCCCAAUGGUUUUUUGCUCCUUCCUUGUCACCACUCCUGAUGUUAGAGCGAAUUGCUAAUUUAGGUGCUGCCUGGAAUGUUUGUAUUUAGGGGAAAACUCUGAAGGUGCCAGCAGCCAGCCAUGAACACUGAGAAUACGGCAUUUGGACAGUAAAUCUGAAGUAACCGCACUCCUCUUGUAUCCAUCCCAUUCUCCUUCCUAGUUGUUCUUGCUGCUUCUUUCUACCGGAAGACAGAAGAUGAAAUGAAAUGAUAAAAC